CGUAAAGCGCACGCAGGCGGUUUGUUAAGUCAGAUGUGAAAUCCCCGGGCUCAACCUGGGAACUGCAUUUGAAACUGGCAAGCUAGAGUCUCGUAGAGGGGGGUAGAAUUCCAGGUGUAGCGGUGAAAUGCGUAGAGAUCUGGAGGAAUACCGGUGGCGAAGGCGGCCCCCUGGACGAAGACUGACGCUCAGGUGCGAAAGCGUGGGGAGCAAACAGGAUUAGAUACCCUGGUAGUCCACGCUGUAAACGAUGUCGAUUUGGAGGUUGUGCCCUUGAGGCGUGGCUUCCGGAGCUAACGCGUUAAAUCGACCGCCUGGGGAGUACGGCCGCAAGGUUAAAACUCAAAUGAAUUGACGGGGGCCCGCACAAGCGGUGGAGCAUGUGGUUUAAUUCGAUGCAACGCGAAGAACCUUACCUACUCUUGACAUCCAGAGAACUUUCCAGAGAUGGAUUGGUGCCUUCGGGAACUCUGAGACAGGUGCUGCAUGGCUGUCAUCAGCUCGUGUUGUGAAAUGUUGGGGUUAAGUCCCGCAACGGGAGCAACCCUUAUCCUUUGUUGCCAGCGGUUCCGCCGGGAACUCAAAAGGAAACUGCCAGUGAUAAACUGGA
rnacentral:rRNA from 1 species